AAUCUGUCAUGUGAAAGGGGAGACACGGAGGGAGAAAGGAGGUAAUUGGAAUUGAGCUUCACUUGAGACUUUUCAUCCAGCGGGAAGUGUAGCUAGAGAAAUACGGAGCAGAGCCAUCCCCAAGGGGCUGAAUGAGGUUUCAUUGGCUCUGCUGAAUUGGAUAAAUCCUCAGGAACACACACAUGUUCCCAACGGAAAGACUGAGAGGUUACUCUGUGUCAAUAACAGCAAGUGAGAGAAAAACCUAAGAGGCUUCCCUUGUAAUCCUAAUAUAAGAUACAGUGUAAUGGAGCAGGUAGGAGUGAAAGGUCUGG